ACGAGUUCAGACUCGUGGCGAAUAGCUCAGUAACACGUGGCCAAACUACCCUUCGGAACACAAUACCCUCGGGAAACUGAGGCUAAUAGUGUAUACCAUACCACCACUGGAAUGAGUGGUAUGCCAAACGCUCCGGCGCCGAAGGAUGUGGCUGCGGCCGAUUAGGUAGACGGUGGGGUAACGGCCCACCGUGCCAAUAAUCGGUAUGGGUCAUGAGAGUGAGAACCCAGAGACGGAAUCUGAGACAAGAUUCCGGGCCCUACGGGGCGCAGCAGGCGCGAAACCUUUACACUGCACGACAGUGCGAUAGGGGGAUCCCAAGUGCACAGGCAUAGCGCCUGUGCUUUUCGGUACCCUAAGGCGGUACCAGAAUAAGGGCUGGGCAAGACCGGUGCCAGCCGCCGCGGUAAUACCGGCAGCCCAAGUGAUGGCCGAUCUUAUUGGGCCUAAAGCGUCCGUAGCUGGCCGCGCAAGUCCAUCGGGAAAUCCACCUGCUCAACAGGUGGGCGCCCGGUAGAAACUGCGUGGCUUGGGACCGGAAGGCGCGACGGGUACGUCCGGGGUAGGAGUGAAAUCCCGUAAUCCUGGACGGACCGCCGAUGGCGAAAGCACGUCGCGAGAACGGAUCCGACAGUGA
rnacentral:rRNA from 2 species